rnacentral:rRNA from 1 species
AAUGAACGCUGGCGGCGUGGAAAAGACAUGCAAGUCGAACGGAGUUAGCAAUAAGUUUGCUUAAGGCAAACUCAGUGGCGAACUGGUGAGUAACACGUGAAUAAUCUGCCUUGAAGUGGUGGAUAGCCCUGGGACACUAGGAUUAAUACCGCAUGUGGUCGAGAGACUAAAGCAGCAAUGCGCUUUAAGAUGAGUUCGCGUCCUAUUAGCUAGUUGGUGAGGUAACUGCUCACCAAGGCCUUGAUAGGUAGCCGGUCUGAGAGGACGUCGGGCCACACUGGAACUGAGACACGGUCCAGACACCUACGGGUGGCAGCAGUCGAGAAUCAUUCACAAUGGGGGCAACCCUGAUGGUGCGACGCCGCGUGGGGGAAGAAUGUCUUCGGAUUGUAAACCCCUGUCAUGUGGGAGUAAGCUAGUGAUAGUUGAUAGUACCACAAGAGGAAGAGACGGCAAACUCUGUGCCAGCCGCCGCGGUAACAC